GGGGAUUUAGCUCAGCGGCAUAAGCGCCUGCCUUGCAAGCAGGCGGUCGUGAGGUCGAUCCCCA
rnacentral:tRNA from 1 species